rnacentral:rRNA from 1 species
GACGUAGGGGGCCAGCGUUGCUCGGAAUUACUGGGCGUAAAGGGUGCGCAGGCGGUGGCCCGCGUGGGCGGUGAAAGCUCCUGGCUCAACUGGGAGAGGGCCGUCCAGACGGGGUCACUUGAGGGGCGGAGAGGGGCGUGGAAUUCCGGGUGGAGCGGUGAAAUGCGUAGAGAUCCGGAGGAACACCGACGGCGAAGGCAGCGCCCUGGCCGCCAUCUGACGCUCAGGCACGAAAGCUGGGGGAGCGAACAGG